GCGAAUGGUGGAUGCCUUGACUGGUAAAGGCGAUGAAGGACGUACUAGACUGCGAUAAGCUACGGGGAGCUGUCAAGAAGCUUUGAUCCGUAGAUUUCCGAAUGGGGCAACCCAAUGUAUAGAGAUAUACAUUACCUAUAUAGGAGCGAACGAGGGGAAUUGAAACAUCUUAGUACUCUCAGGAAAAGAAAUCAAUAGAGAUUGCGUCAGUAGCGGCGAGCGAAAGCGCAAGAGGGCAAACCCAGUGCUUGCACUGGGGGUUGUAGGACUGCAAUGUGCAAGAGCUGAGUUUAGCAGAACAUUCUGGAAAGUAUAACCAUAGAGGGUGAUAGUCCCGUAUGCGAAAAACAAACCUUAGCUAGCAGUAUCCUGAGUAGGGCGGGACACGAGGAAUCCUGUCUGAAUCCGGGUCGACCACGAUCCAACCCUAAAUACUAAUACCAGAUCGAUAGUGCACAAGUACCGUGAGGGAAAGGUGAAAAGAACUGAGGUGAUCAGAGUGAAAUAGAACCUGAAACCAUUUGCUUACAAUCAUUCAGAGCCCUAUGUAGCAAUACAGGGUGAUGGACUGCCUUUUGCAUAAUGAGCCUGCGAGUUGUGGUGUCUGGCAAGGUUAAGCAAACGCGAAGCCGUAGCGAAAGCGAGUCUGAAUAGGGCGCUUAGUCAGAUGCUGCAGACCCGAAACGAAGUGAUCUAUCCAUGAGCAAGUUGAAGCUAGUGUAAGAACUAGUGGAGGACUGAACCCAUAGGCGUUGAAAAGCCCCGGGAUGACUUGUGGAUAGGGGUGAAAGGCCAAUCAAACUUCGUGAUAGCUGGUUCUCUCCGAAAUAUAUUUAGGUAUAGCGUUGUGUCGUAAUAUAAGGGGGUAGAGCACUGAAUGGGCUAGGGCAUACACCAAUGUACCAAACCCUAUCAAACUCCGAAUACCUUAUAUGUAAUCACAGCAGUCAGGCGGCGAGUGAUAAAAUCCGUCGUCAAGAGGGAAACAACCCAGACUACCAGCUAAGGUCCCUAAAUCUUACUUAAGUGGAAAACGAUGUGAAGUUACUUAAACAACCAGGAGGUUGGCUUAGAAGCAGCCAUCCUUUAAAGAAAGCGUAAUAGCUCACUGGUCUAGUGAUUUUGCGCGGAAAAUAUAACGGGGCUAAAGU
rnacentral:rRNA from 1 species